CCACUCACUCACACUAUAUCACGUUGAUAUCAGCCACAACACACACACUAACACCUAAAACACACACACACUUCACGCAUAACACCAUUUUCUUUGGUGUUGGAGCUUUUGACUUCCGAUUUGAGCACCGAGACGAGCGCCGAUCAUCUUUUCGAUCACGUAUCUAAGUAGGUCCUUUUGGGAAGUAACGACUUGAGGGAGAGAGUGACGUUACUCAUUGAUACAGAGACACAACGAGGUUGAGCUGAUGUGAUGAUGGUGCUGCAAUGAGCGGAGUCUCCAGGGUUGUUAAUAAAUAGUUAACCUGUCUAGAAUAUGUCUUCAUACAUAUGUCUAGCUACUUUCCGCUGCAAGAUGUUGUUGAUGUUAUAGUAUGUUAUGUCAUACUUUGAGUCUUAAGAGAAUGGUUUCAUACGAUGUAUAACUUGAUUAAUGAUAUUAAUUAAGUUUUAUGCUGUCUUUCA